rnacentral:rRNA from 1 species
AACGCGAAGAACCUUACCUGGUCUUGACAUCCCCCUGAAAGCAGCGCAAUGGCUGCCGUCCUUCGGGACAGGGGAGACAGGUGGUGCAUGGUUGUCGUCAGCUCGUGUCGUGAGAUGUUGGGUUAAGUCCCGCAACGAGCGCAACCCUUAUCCUUAGUAGCCAGCAGGCAAAGCUGGGCACUCUAGGGAGACUGCCGGGGAUAACCCGGAGGAAGGCGGGGAUGACGUCAAAUCAUCAUGCCCCUUAUGGCCAGGGCUACACACGUGCUACAAUGGCGUAAACAAAGGGAAGCGAAAUGGCGACAUGGAGCAAAUCCCAAAAAUAACGUCCCAGUUCGGAUUGCAGCCUGCAACUCGGCUGCAUGAAGCCGGAAUCGCUAGUAAUCGCGGAUCAGAAUGCUGCGGUGAAUACGUUCCCGGGUCUUGUACACACCG